rnacentral:lncRNA from 1 species
CACCCUCGUGCAGCCUCAGGUCGCGUGCUGACGGGUCUUCUGUGACGCACUCCCACACCUGCCUCCCUGGACACCCACACAGCCGCCACCCCACCCAGGCCACCGUCAUCUGCCACUGUAACCGGCGCCGGCAGCCUCGUACUGUGCUCGCCAGGAGAGGCUGCUCCCCAGCACGUGCCCAGGACAGCCCCUCCCUGGCUGGUCCCGAGGUCCCCAAGGCCCCCACUCCGGGCUGCCCGCCCUGCGCCCACACCUGGGUGCACACGCACGCGCACGCACACACGUGCACGCCCGCAUCGCCGGUGCUGGGCGUCUCACCCGGUCUUCACUCGCACCUCAGUAGCGCCUGGGUACUCACCUUUCUCUCCAGUAGAACCCCGCUUCCAGCUGACUCCCAGUAGAGCUGAAGCUGGAGCCGUGGGCGCUGCCAGGCCUGGGCAGGCUGCAGGGAGGCGUGCAGUGGAGACACUGGAUGUGUGCAGGCCAAGACACACAGAGCCACCAAGUAGAUUGUCCGACAUGUGCAGGAAGCUGCAGACCACCAUAGAGGAAAACAUGGGACCCGAGAACGAGACAAGCCUGGCACGGUGGCCCAUGCCUGUGAUCCCAGCACUUGGGAGGCUGAGGCAGGAGGAUCACCACGAGUUCAAGGCCAGCCUGGGCUACACAGUGAGGUCAAGGCCAGCCUGGACUACAAAGUGAGACCUUGUCUCAAAAAACUAUAAAACAGGGCCGGG